rnacentral:rRNA from 1 species
UACAGAGGGGGCAAGCGUUGUUCGGAAUUACUGGGCGUAAAGGGCGCGUAGGCGGCCUUCUAAGUCGAACGUGAAAUCCCCGGGCUCAACCCGGGAACUGCGUCCGAUACUGGGAGGCUUGAAUCCGGGAGAGGGAUGUGGAAUUCCAGGUGUAGCGGUGAAACGCGUAGAUAUCUGGAGGAACACCGGUGGCGAAGGCGGCAUCCUGGACCGGUAUUGACGCUGAGGCGCGAAAGCCAGGGGAGCAAACGGG